rnacentral:rRNA from 1 species
AUUGAACGCUGGCGGCAUGCCUUACACAUGCAAGUCGAACGGUAGAGGGGCAACCCUCGAGAGUGGCGAACGGGUGAGUAAUGCAUCGGAACGUACCCAGUUGUGGGGGAUAGCUCGGCGAAAGCCGGAUUAAUACCGCAUACGCACUGAGGUGGAAAGCGGGGGACUCGCAAGGGCCUCGCGCAGUUGGAGCGGCCGAUGUCAGAUUAGCUAGUUGGUGGGGUAAAGGCCUACCAAGGCGACGAUCUGUAGCUGGUCUGAGAGGAUGACCAGCCACACUGGGACUGAGACACGGCCCAGACUCCUACGGGAGGCAGCAGUGGGGAAUUUUGGACAAUGGGCGCAAGCCUGAUCCAGCCAUGCCGCGUGCAGGAAGAAGGCCUCGGUU